UUCCUUAGCUGUUAUGUUGAGAAUUGACUCGGGGCAUUGCCAGUUAGCAAACGUCUUAUGCUAAGCUCUUCAGAGACAGAGACAGAGACGGAAAGAGAGAAAGACAGAGAGACGCAGACACACAAACACACACACACACACACACACAGAGAGAGAGAGAGAGAGAGAGAGAGAGAGAGAGAGAGAGAAUGAGUGUGUUUGUAUUUUGGAAGCAGCUCAAGCUAGCCUGGACACUGCAGGGUAGAGGACUUUCCUGGACUUGGAGUAAUUGAGUAGCGUUGAGAUGCACGGACAUGGGUUGGCUGCUCUGGGUUCCUCUGCCUGUCAGCUCUACUGACUUUAAACACCUGACUUGACUCUGCCCUGGUCAGGGCCGGCGAGUGUUGUAGCUACUGCCUGGUGUUUCUGACAUCAGAUUUUUCCAGGAGAUCUGGAGACAAGUCCUCUCCACCUGCCAUUGCCCCACUGGAUCCCACAGAUAGCUGCGAAGAGAAGGCGGACCUUGGUCUGCACGGAAACCUGAGGAGUCUGAGCCUGGAAGGAGAAGAGGAAAAUGGGCAGGUUCCUAACCCAGAAGCCUCUGAUGACCCCAACUCCAGGGCCCUGAGCCAGGACUCCGUGGAUGGCAAGCCCCUUCAGGAGCAAAUGGAUGAGCUGUUAGAGCAGUGCUUCCUGCAUGCUUUGAAGAGUCGAGUCAAAAAAGCUGACCUCCCUUUGCUCACCAGCACGCUCCUUGGCAGUCACAUGUUCUCCUG
rnacentral:lncRNA from 1 species